AAAAACAAAUAAUUAAGUAUGAGCCAUUUGAAUUGAAAAUAAAAUGUAACUUCAUUGAUAAUAUCUCGAACUAUUUUUUCAUUACAAAUAAAACGGGAAUUUUGAAGAGGUACCAAUUUGGGUUGAAUGGAAUGUCUCCCAAGUAACUAGUUUUUACAAUAUAAAUUUAAAAAAAAACAUAUUUUGACAUGAGUUUGAUUAUAUAAAUACAGAAAAGAAAUUGGCGAAUGCAAUCUACCCUAUCGCUUUCUUGAGUGGAGACUUUAAUAGCCACAACUGAUGAAAUUAUGAACUGUUAUAAGUAGUAAAAUUAUUCAAUUUAAUUGAACUGAGGUCUAAGUGUGAAUUGUAUAA